AUGAAGAACGCAGCGAAAUGCGAUAAGUAAUGUGAAUUGCAGAAUUCAGUGAAUCAUCGAAUCUUUGAACGCACAUUGCGCUCGCCAGUAUUCUGGCGAGCAUGCCUGUUCGAGCGUCA
rnacentral:rRNA from 1 species